rnacentral:tRNA from 1 species
GUUUUAAUAGUUUAAAUAAAAACACUGGUCUUGUAAACCAAAAUUAAAGUAUCUUUUUAAAACA